rnacentral:rRNA from 1 species
CCUACGGGAGGCAGCAGUGAGGAAUAUUGCACAAUGGGCGCAAGCCUGAUGCAGCGACGCCGCGUGGGUGAAGAAGGUCUUCGGAUCGUAAAGCCCUUUUCUGCGUGACGAGAGAGGACGGUAGCGCAGGAAUAAGUCUCGGCUAACUACGUGCCAGCAGCCGCGGUAAU